AUUGAACGCUGGCGGCAUGCCUUACACAUGCAAGUCGAACGGCAGCACGGGUGCUCGCACCUGGUGGCGAGUGGCGAACGGGUGAGUAAUACAUCGGAACGUACCUUAUCGUGGGGGAUAACGCAGCGAAAGCUGUGCUAAUACCGCAUACGCCCUGAGGGGGAAAGCGGGGGAUCGCAAGACCUCGCGCGAUUAGAGCGGCCGAUGCCUGAUUAGCUUGUUGGUGGGGUAAAAGCCCACCAAGGCGACGAUCAGUAGCUGGUCGGAGAGGACGAUCAGCCACACUGGGACUGAGACACGGCCCAGACUCCUACGGGAGGAAGCAGUGGGGAAUUCUGGACAGUGGGGGCAACCCUGAUCCAGCAAUGCCGCGUGAGUGAAGAAGGCCUUCGGGUUGUAAAGCUCUUUUGUCAGGGAAGAAACACCGGCUCUAACACAGUCCGGGAAUGACGGUACCUGAAGAAUAAGCACCGGCUAACUACGUGCCAGCCGCCGCCGUAA
rnacentral:rRNA from 1 species